rnacentral:rRNA from 1 species
UCUCCUGGAAACGGGUGGUAAUGCCGGAUGUUCCACAUGAGCGCAUGCGAGUGUGGGAAAGGCUUUUUGCGGCAUGGGAUGGGGUCGCGUCCUAUCAGCUUGUUGGUAGGGUAACGGCCUACCAAGGCGUUGACGGGUAGCCGGCCUGAGAGGGCGACCGGCCACAUUGGGACUGAGAUACGGCCCAGACUCCUACGGGAGGCAGCAGUGGGGAAUAUUGCACAAUGGGCGCAAGCCUGAUGCAGCGACGCCGCGUGCGGGAUGGAGGCCUUCGGGUUGUAAACCGCUUUUGUUCAAGGGCAAGGCACGGUUUCGGCCGUGUUGAGUGGAUUGUUCGAAUAAGCACCGGCUAACUACGUGCCAGCAGCCGCGGUAAUACGUAGGGUGCAAGCGUUAUCCGGAUUUAUUGGGCGUAAAGGGCUCGUAGCGGUUCGUCGCGUCCGGUGUGAAAGUCCAUCGCUUAACGGUGGAUCCGCGCCGGGUACGGGCGGGCUUGAGUGCGGUAGGGGAGACUGGAAUUCCCGGUGUAACGGUGGAAUGUGUAGAUAUCGGGAAGGACACCA